rnacentral:rRNA from 1 species
UACGUAGGGGGCAAGCGUUGUCCGGAAUCAUUGGGCGUAAAGAGCGUGUAGGCGGCCAAGCAGGUCCGUUGUGAAAACUGGAGGCUUAACCUCCAGACGUCGACGGAAACCGCGUGGCUAGAGUCCGGAAGAGGAGAGUGGAAUUCCUGGUGUAGCGGUGAAAUGCGCAGAUAUCAGGAAGAACACCAAUGGCGAAGGCAGCUCGCUGGGACGGUACUGACGCUGAGACGCGAAAGCGUGGGGAGCAAACAGG